rnacentral:rRNA from 1 species
UACGUAGGGGGCGAGCGUUGUCCGGAUUUAUUGGGCGUAAAGAGCGUGUAGGCGGCCAGGUAGGUCUGCUGUGAAAACUCGAGGCUCAACCCUCGAGACGUCGGCGGAAACCAUCUGGCUAGAGUCCGGAAGAGGAGAGUGGAAUUCCUGGUGUAGCGGUGAAAUGCGCAGAUAUCAGGAAGAACACCCGUGGCGAAGGCGGCUCUCUGGGACGGUACUGACGCUGAGACGCGAAAGCGUGGGAGCGAACAGGAUAGAUAC